rnacentral:rRNA from 1 species
UACAGAGGGUGCGAGCGUUAAUCGGAAUUACUGGGCAUAAAGCGUGCGUAGACGGUAGCGUAAGUCAGAUGUGAAAGCCCCGGGCUCAACCUGGGAAUGGCAUUUGAGACUGCUCUGCUCGGGUGCGGAAGAGGGAAGCGGAAUUUCCGGUGUAGCGGUGAAAUGCGUAGAUAUCGGAAGGAACACCAGUGGCGAAAGCGGCUUCCUGGUCCGACACCGACGGUCAGGCACGAAAAGCGUGGGGAGCAAACAGG